CCUACGGGUGGCAGCAGUGAGGAAUAUUGGUCAAUGGACGAGAGUCUGAACCAGCCAAGUAGCGUGAAGGAUGACUGCCCUAUGGGUUGUAAACUUCUUUUAUAUGGGAAUAAAAUGUUCCACGUGUGGGCUUUUGUAUGUACCAUAUGAAUAAGGAUCGGCUAACUCCGUGCCUGCAGCCGCGGUAAUACGGAGGAUCCGAGCGUUAUCCGGAUUUAUUGGGUUUAAAGGGAGCGUAGGUGGUUUGUUAAGUCAGUUGUGAAAGUUUGCGGCUCAACCGUAAAAUUGCAGUUGAAACUGGCAGUCUUGAGUACAGUAGAGGUGGGCGGAAUUCGUGGUGUAGCGGUGAAAUGCUUAGAGAUCACGAAGAACUCCGAUUGCGAAGGCAGCUCACUGGACUGCAACUGACACUGAGGCUCGAAAGUGUGGGUAUCAAACAGGAUUAGAUACCCGGGUAGUC
rnacentral:rRNA from 1 species